rnacentral:lncRNA from 1 species
AGGCCAACUAGUAUCUAGCUCUCUAACUGCCUUGGGCCAUCAAAACUCCCAAAUCAAAUAUUGUUGACCUGGCUUGUGUCAAGUGCCCAUCACUGAAUUAGUCACUAUGGCCAGGAGCAGAUGGGCCCUCACUAGACAGAACUGGUCUGUGGCCGCCCAUGGUGCCCGGGAUGAGGGCAGCUCCACCUGAACACAGAGAGUGGCAAAGGCAAAGUUUCCUGACAUAGACGUUCCUGUUCCAUUUGUCCCGCAAACGUUUAAACAUCACACAUACUUGGUUAAGGCACACUAAUUCUAUGUGGUGGGGAAAAUGGCACUUGGAACAUUCAGUUUCAAUGGUCCUUUCAGAGCUACAGCAUCUCUCUCUCUCAAUGUCUGUGUUAAUUCCUCUAAAAGGACUCAGACCUGACGUGGCUCCCAGCCUUCUUGGACCCCUCCUAUCUGUGGUACUGAUGGGUACAGAACUCACACACCCUACCCUGGGUGUGAGUAAGAGCAUGGGCCUUGUAAUCUUGGCUUGUUUGGAGAGAGGAAGGGGAAAUUCCAGAAGUGAAGGUCAUAAGUUUUCUAUCAGAUGGGGUGGUGGCUCAAAGCAGAGGUUAUGAGCCUGAGUAUGUAGAUCCAUCACCCAGUGUGAACUUGGGCAAGUCCUUACCUUCUCCCCUCUGCACCCUCUCCAUCCACUUCCCUCACUGACAUUCCAAAACACACACACACACACACACACACACAUUUAUUAUUUUAAGACAAUUGUUGAUUCACAUGCAGUUUUAAGAAAUGCUAGAGAUCACAGACCAGGCACAGUGGCUCAUGCUUGUAAUCCAGGCACUUUGGGAGGUCGAGGCAGGCGGAUCACUUGAGGUCAGGAGUUCGAGACUAGCCUGGCCAACGUGGCAAAACCCCAUCUCUACUAAAAAUA